AAGCAAUGGCAAAAUACAGGUUCGGAGCGAUUUUCCCAGUCGUCUAUAUGUUUUUGGUUCACAUGGUGCCCACAUUUCCAGCAUCCGGUUCUGUUUUGUGCGAGCAAAUAAAAGAUGGGAACAGAAUGUGCACCUGUUACGAAACACCACCCUUUUCGUGUCGCAUUUGUGCCACUGGCCCGGAAAGAGCCAGAAUUUGUAUUAUAGGAAAUUCUACUAAUGAUCUUAUAAAGGUCUCUUGGAAGGGAUAUAUAGUGGGAGAAGCAAAGUCGGUGCGAGUUUCCCCAACCAAAAAGUGUGCGACAAUUGAUGGGUUUGUCAAAACGAUUGCCUGCUUAGAACAAAUGGAUCAUAAACAGUGUAUGAGCAUCGAAAUGUUCCGGCAAAAAUACCGAUUACCGUGCAUGUUACUAGACAAUAGGUACUCUUUUGUAAAUAAUGAUAUAGAAUAAGGCACCAAUCAUGUGUCAUACAAUUAUGAAUCGAGCCACUCGGGCCGAAAAACACACUGUUGGACUGGCGUAUUAAAUCGAAGCCGCUAGGACAUCACGUUUUCUAAUAGCAAAUACCUAUAUACUACAUUUUUUCAGUAAAAUUGCAUUUCUUUUUA